rnacentral:rRNA from 1 species
AGAGUUUGAUCAUGGCUCAGGACGAACGCUGGCGGCGCGUCUAAGACAUGCAAGUCGAACGGGGGUAGCAAUACCCUAGUGGCGAACGGGUGAGUAACACGUAGCUACCUGCCUUCCGGUGGGGGACAACAGUUCGAAAGGACUGCUAAUACCGCAUACGAUUUGCGGAUGAAAGCCUUCGGGCGCCGGAAGAGGGGGCUGCGGCCUAUUAGCUUGUUGGUGAGGUAACGGCUCACCAAGGCGAUGAUGGGUAGCUGAUCUGAGAGGAUGAUCAGCCACACUGGGACUGAGAUACGGCCCAGACUCCUACGGGAGGCAGCAGUUAAGAAUCUUGCGCAAUGGGCGAAAGCCUGACGCAGCGACGCCGCGUGGAGGAUGACGGCCUUCGGGUUGUAAACUCCUUUUCGGAGGGAAGAUAAUGACGGUACCUCCGGAAUAAGCCCCGGCUAAUUACGUGCCAGCAGCCGCGGUAAUACGUAAGGGGCAAGCGUUGUCCGGAAUCACUGGGCGUAAAGCGCGCGUAGGCGGUUUGACAAGUCGGGUGUGAAAUCCCCGGGCUUAACCCGGGAACUGCGCCCGAAACUGUCUCACUGGAGGAACGGAGAGGUGCACGGAAUUCCCGGUGUAGGGGUGAAAUCCAUAGAGAUCGGGAGGAACACCAAUGGCGAAGGCAGUGCACUGGACGUUUCCUGACGCUGAGGUGCGAAAGCGUGGGUAGCGAAUGGGAUUAGAUACCCCGGUAGUCCACGCCGUAAACGAUGGCAACUAGGUUUGGGAGGCUUCGACCCCUUCCGAGCCGCCGCUAACGCAUUAAGUUGCCCGCCUGGGGAGUACGAUCGCAAGAUUAAAACUCAAAGGAAUUGACGG